AAGAAUCCUUGGAGAGAAGUAAUGAUGCCAUCUCUGUUUUGCAUCCUCUAUCAAAACUGCUGGAAGGUGGAAACACUUGUGCUGCUGGUUAUGAAACUUACAAAGAGAUCUGCAGUUCACCCAUCUCCAAAGUUCUCUUUGCAGAUCAGGCAGAUGCAGUUGGUAUCAGAUGGAAGACAAGGUUGGUAGAAUCCAAAUUAGAGGCACAAUCCCAAGAGCAAGAAAAUUUUUGUGAAGAAAAUGUAGCAACUACUACAUCAAUAUCUGUUGAAAAAAGCAAGACAGGCAAACAACAUGUGAUAGAUGAUUUGCUGAGUCGCAGAUCAAAAUGUGAU
rnacentral:misc_RNA from 1 species